rnacentral:lncRNA from 1 species
AUGGACACGGUCAAGGGACACAAGGGGGGUGACCACGAGCUGGUCAGGCAGCUUUUAGUCGGAGUCAACUUGUGGUUUGUGAAGACACGGGUGGACAUGGCUGUGGGGAAAGACCAGGAGGGAGGCACCGGGAAAGCUUAUUCCUGCUUCGGGGAACACUAUGAAGCUUGCAACUGCUGGCCGAGGGAGCUUCGGGGCCUGAGAAAGCUUGGAAAGAAGGCUAGUGCUGCCAUUGACAGUGACUGCCAGCAGGUAUGUCCCAUUAUCUCCCAGGGCCUCAGCUGUCUCCUCAGUGAACUGGGCAUAGUGAUGCCCACUUUGCAGAGAGGCAGUGAGGACUGAAGACCAUCACGUGAGUGCAGUGCCUCGCACACAGCGUCCUCCUCUCUCCUCCACCGCCCUUUCCCUCACUGUUUCAUGUUUCCAUCUAGGAAAACAGGUGAAUAAGAUCCUGUCCCUUAAAAAACUUAGGCGACAGGGAAUUCCCGUCAUGGCUCAGGAGUUACAAACCUGACUAGGACCCAUGAGGAUGUGGGUUCGAUCCCUAGCCUCGCUCAGUGGGUUAAGGAUCUGGCGUUGCCGUGAGCUGUGGUGUAUGUCACAGAAGUAGCUCGGAUCCUGUGUGGCUGUGCCUGUGGGUGGCAGCUGCAGCUCCGAUUUGACCCCUAGCCUGAGAACUUCCAUAUGCUGCAGGUGCAGCCCUUAAAAAAAAAAGACCAAAAAAAAGAAAGAAAGAAAGAAAGAAACUUAGGUGACACAAUAGGGCCAAAGAAACACGUGGCUGGGGAGUUCAAGAUGUGGCUUUACCUCUCUGUCUCUUAAUGGAGGUAAUUACACCUACCUUUUCUCUCGAGUUUGUAGGAAGAUGAAAUAAGACAACUCCGGUAAAGCUCUUGGUCCCACACCUGGCACAUUAUAGGUGCCACUAAAUAGUUGCAUGGUCCCGCAUGGUCAAGUUUACUCACAAAAUGAAUGUGGCAAAGGCCACAGAGCGGGCAGAGAAUGUGCUGUGGGAGUUCAGGGGAAGAGGAUUUCCAACUGGAUAUCCAGGAAGGCUCCAAGGAGGAGGCAGCAUUUCAGCUAAUUUGGACACGAGGUGAUGAGAGGAGGAGGGUGAGAGAGAUUAUUCCGGGCACGUGUGUGGAAACCAGAAAAUGUGGCUGGCAGGGCAGGCUGGCGGGUGUGGACAGGAGCUUUAGGAGCCAAGGCAGGAAUGGCUGUGGCUGGAGUCUGACCUAGAAAGCCUUCAGCGAGGAACGGAGUUGGGAACGUUAACUCAACAGAGAGCUGCUAAAGUUCCCGAGGGGAGUGGGUGUGUGCGUGUGUGUGUGUGUGUGUGUGU